rnacentral:rRNA from 1 species
UAAAGGGUCCGUAGCCGGUUUAAUCAGUCUUCUGGGAAAUCUAAUCGCUUAACUAUUAGGCUUCCAGGGGAUACUGUUAGACUUGGGACCGGGAGAGGUAAGAGGUACUGCAGGGGUAGGAGUGAAAUCUUGUAAUCCCUGUGAGACCACCAGUGGCGAAGGCGUCUUACCAGAACGGGUCCGACGGUGAGGGACGAAAGCUGGGGGCACGAACCGGAUUAGAUACCCGGGUAGUCCCAGCUGUAAACGAUGCUCGUUAGGUGUCAGGAACGGUGCGACUGUUUCUGGUGCCGAAGGGAAGCCGUGAAACGAGCCACCUGGGAAGUACGGCCGCAAGGCUGAAACUUAAAGGAAUUGGCGGGGGAGCACUACAACGGGUGGAGCCUGCGGUUUAAUUGGACUCAACGCCGGAAAACUCACCGGGGGCGACAGCAAUAUGUAGGUCAGGUUAAAGGUCUUACCUGAAUCGCUGAGAGGAGGUGCAUGGCCGUCGUCAGUUCGUACUGUGAAGCAUCCUGUUAAGUCAGGCAACGAGCAAGACCCGUGCCCACUGUUACCAGCAUAUCCUUUAUGGAUGAUGGGGACUCUGUGGGGACCGCUGCUGCUAAAGCAGAGGAAGGUGCGGGCUACGGUAGGUCAGUAUGCCCCGAAUCUCCCGGGCUACACGCGGGCUACAAUGGUUGGGACAAUGGGUAUCUACUCCGAAAGGAGUUGGCAAUCUCUUAAACCCAAUCGUAGUUCGAAUUGAGGGCUGUAACUCGCCCUCAUGAAGCUGGAAUCCGUAGUAAUCGCGUUUCAACAUAGCGCGG